rnacentral:rRNA from 1 species
CCCUUAGAUGUCCUGGGCCGCACGCGCGCUACACUGAGUGUCUGAGAUACGAGUCUGCCUGGUCCGGCAAGGUCUAGGUAAUCGCUAAAAGACACAUCAUGCUUGGGAUAGAUUAUUGCAAAUAUUAAUCUUGAACGAGGAAUUCCUAGUAAACGCAAGUCAUCAGCUUGCAUUGAUUACGUCCCUGCCCUUUGUACACACCGCCCGUCGCUCCUACCGAUUGAAUGAUCCGAUGAAUAUCAUGGAUUGAGGAUGCAAGUAGGUUAGCCUAUCUUCAUCUUCGAGAAGUGAAGUAAAUCUUAUCAUUUAGAGGAAGGAGAAGUCGUAACA